UACGUAGGUGGCUAGCGUUAUCCGGAAUUACUGGGCGUAAAGGGUGCGUAGGUGGUUUCUUAAGUCAGAGGUGAAAGGCUACGGCUCAACCGUAGUAAGCCUUUGAAACUGGGAAACUUGAGUGCAGGAGAGGAGAGUGGAAUUCCUAGCGUAGCGGUGAAAUGCGUAGAUAUUAGGAGGAACACCAGUUGCGAAGGCGGCUCUCUGGACUGUAACUGACACUGAGGCACGAAAGCGUGGGGAGCAAACAGGAUUAGAUACCCGUGUAGUCCCUGA
rnacentral:rRNA from 1 species